rnacentral:rRNA from 1 species
AGAGUUUGAUCAUGGCUCAGGACGAACGCUAGCGGCGUGCCUAAUGUAUGCAAGUCGAGCGGAACCUUCGGGUUCAGCGGCGAACGGUUGAGUAACACGUCGGCAACCUGCCCCGUAGUGGGGGAUAACUCAUCGAAAGGUGGGCUAAUACCGCAUGUCGCCCUGGGUCGCAUGGCCCGGUGGCGAACGCAGCAAUGCGCUGCGGGAGGGGCCGGCGGCCUAUCAGCUUGUUGGUGGGGUCACGGCCUACCAAGGCUUCGACGGGUAGCUGGUCUGAGAGGAUGGUCAGCCAGACAGGGACUGAGACACGGCCCUGACUCCUUUGGGGGGCAGCAAUGAGGGAUAUUGCGCAAUGGGGGCAACCCUGACGCAACGACGCCGCGUGGGUGAUGAAGUCCUUCGGGAUGUAAAGCCCUUUUGCCGGGGACGAGAAUGGACGGUACCCGGCGAAUAAGCCCCGGCUAACUACGUGCCAGCAGCCGCGGUAAUACGUAGGGGGCAAGCGUUGUCCGGAUUUACUGGGCGUAAAGCGCGUGUAGGCGGCGCGUCAAGUCGGGUGUGAAACCCCGGGGCUCAACCCCGGGCGGCCGCCCGAAACUGGCGCGCUUGAGGACGGAAGAGGGGAGUGGAAUUCCUGGUGUAGCGGUGAAAUGCGUAGAGAUCAGGAGGAACACCCGUGGCGAAGGCGGCUCCCUGGUCCGUCCCUGACGCUGAGACGCGAAAGCGCGGGGAGCGAACGGGAUUAGAUACCCCCGUAGUCC